rnacentral:rRNA from 1 species
GGAUCGUCAUGUCUAGUAUAAGCACUAUACGGUGAACUGCGAAUGGCUCAUUAAAUCAGUUAUCGUUUAUUUGAUAGUACCUUACUACAUGGAUAACCGUGGUAAUUCUAGAGCUAAUACAUGCUAAAAACCUCGACUUCGGAAGGGGUGUAUUUAUUAGAUAAAAAACCAAUGCCCUUCGGGGCUCCUUGGUGAAUCAUAAUAACUUAACGAAUCGCAUGGCCUUGCGCCGGCGAUGGUUCAUUCAAAUUUCUGCCCUAUCAACUUUCGAUGGUAGGAUAGUGGCCUACCAUGGUAUCAACGGGUAACGGGGAAUUAGGGUUCGACUCCGGAGAGGGAGCCUGAGAAACGGCUACCACAUCCAAGGAAGGCAGCAGGCGCGCAAAUUACCCAAUCCCGACACGGGGAGGUAGUGACAAUAAAUACUGAUACAGGGCUCUUUUGGGUCUUGUAAUUGGAAUGAGUACAAUUUAAAUCCCUUAACGAGGAACAAUUGGAGGGCAAGUCUGGUGCCAGCAGCCGCGGUAAUUCCAGCUCCAAUAGCGUAUAUUAAAGUUGUUGCAGUUAAAAAGCUCGUAGUUGAACCUUGGGCCUGGCUGGCCGGUCCGCCUCACCGCGUGUACUGGUCCGGCCGGGCCUUUCCUUCUGGGGAACCUCAUGCCCUUCACUGGGCGUGCUGGGGAACCAGGACUUUUACUUUGAAAAAAUUAGAGUGUUCAAAGCAGGCCUUUGCUCGAAUACAUUAGCAUGGAAUAAUAGAAUAGGACGUGUGGUUCUAUUUUGUUGGUUUCUAGGACCGCCGUAAUGAUUAAUAGGGAUAGUCGGGGGCAUCAGUAUUCAAGCGUCAGAGGUGAAAUUCUUGGAUUGCUUGAAGACUAACUACUGCGAAAGCAUUUGCCAAGGAUGUUUUCAUUAAUCAGUGAACGAAAGUUAGGGGAUCGAAGACGAUCAGAUACCGUCGUAGUCUUAACCAUAAACUAUGCCGACUAGGGAUCGGGCGGUGUUAGUAUUUUGACCCGCUCGGCACCUUACGAGAAAUCAAAGUUUUUGGG